GGUUAGACAUAUUGAUGUGCUAAUCUAAUUUAAUUAGUCGGAUGUCAGAUCUGCUGAUUUAAAAAAGACCUAAACUCAAAUCUUCUCAUUAAAUAUUAAGUCCAUAGGUCUUCCAUCAUUGUAGAGAUGCGGGUGCCUUUCUGAUGUUGAUCAUUCUCAGCUGGUUAUAGUGGUUUGGUUGCAUCGAAAAGGUACAACCACUCUAUUGACAUGUGAUGUCUCGGGGUAGAGAUGGGGUUGGAUCUAAUAACUAUUAGAUGAGGGUCCCAAUGAUGAUUUUGCAUCCAUUGGUGAAUGAUGGAUUUGACUUAACUAAGAAAUGUGCCAAUAACUGUUAGGUGAGGCC
rnacentral:lncRNA from 1 species